rnacentral:lncRNA from 1 species
UUUUCUAGUUGUUAAUUUAUGUAACUAGCAAUUCCUUUAUGAUAAAAUCUACCUAUUGCGCAAACUAUAACGUGAAUCCACUUAACUAGUAAGGAAAAAAUCAUUUACAAAACUAUAUAUAUAUAUAUAUAUAUAUAUAUAUAUAUAUACUUCAACUAUUGAAAUCAAGAAGUUACAAUUGGUCAAAUGAUAUGAAAGGGAUUAAUUAGUAGUCUCUUUUGAAAUAGGCCUAUUUUUCUCCAAGUUUGACCAGUGAAUCGAACGGGGAUUCAAGUUUUUCAUUUCAUGAAGUAAAAAUGCGGUUCUUNNN